rnacentral:lncRNA from 1 species
CUAUUUAUACUUAGUAAGUUAAGGUGUCUACCACACUGUUUUCUUUUGUUUUUUCUUCCUAAACAAAGUCUCUAUCUCUUUUUCUCAAAAAUAUAUUUCAACAAGCUAUUUUCAAUUAUAAGAUGACUUAUAAGAAUGUUCUUUUGAUCCUUGGAAUUUUAACCGUGAUUGUUCUAAGUCCUUCGGAGAUUCUAGCUCGGGACUUACCAGCAACAGAAUAUACCCAAGGACCAGGUUUGUUUUAGCAUUUAUAUAUGACAUAAAAAUUGUUUAUAAAGGACUUUUACUUGUUAACUCUAAAUUUCUCUUUUUGAAUUAUCUUCAGAAGUGACGAAAAAUAUAUAUUUUAUUAUUGGGUUAAUCACCAAAAACGUGCAUGAAUUAUCUAAUAUUAAAUAUGUAUUUCUCAAAAAAUACAUUAGACAUUGAAUUUUGAUGCAAUUUUUUAUAAGUAUAAUUAAAAAAUAAGAUAUUAUUAUUCAAACGCUAACAAAAAUAUACUCAAAUUUUGCUAUCGACAAAAAUGCCAUUAAAUAAUUUAAAAACGGGAUAAAAUUAUCUAAUAUUAAAUAUGUAUUUUUCAAAAAAUACAUUAGACAUUAAAUUUUGAUGCAAUUUUUUACAAGUAUGAUUAAAAAAAUGAUAUAUUAUUAUUCUUAAAAUUUGGUGAUUUUUUGUGAUAUUUUAUUAACAAAAAAUCACUAAAUUUUAAGGAUAAAAAUAUCUCAUUUUUUUAAUCGUAUUUAUAAAAAAGUUAAUCAAAAUUCAAUUUCGAAGGCAUUUUUUGAAAAUACAUAUUUAUUGUUGAACAUUUUUAUCGCAUUUUUAAAUUAUUUGAGGGCAUUUUUGUCAAUAACAAAAUUUGAAUGCAUUUUUGUUCAGCGUUUGAGUAAUUCGAAAACGUUUUUGAAAGUUAACCCUUCAUUAUUUCAUUAUCAAUCCAUAUUUUUAUAGCAUAUGACAUUUUCUUUUCAAAUAUGAUUGUAUUUCUCAUGUUAUCAAUCUUCCGAACUUGCAUAUUUCUAAAAAAUGUAUCAUUGUCUACCUGCAGUUUAUAAAAUAGAAGAAAUAGGUCAAAUUGCUGGACCAACUGGGUUAGGAAGAGAUGUCAAUGACUUGGAUGGUGGAAAAUACAACAUUAGUCAAUGUAAACGUCUUUGUUGUGCUGUAAUAGGAUUCUGUUUUUGUUGCUAAUGGCAUACAAAUGAAAGAUGUGAAUUUGUUACAUCUGUCUAUGUUAAAUCUUAUAACUGCCAUAUGAGAAUAAAGGAAUAAAAUGUAUACCAUAGGUAGAAUAAUAAUCAAUAGCUCUGUGCGUAGCUUGCAAAGAUUAUGUAACUGGAUCUAUUUGGUUGAUGUGGUAAGGUUUUUGAAAUUGCAUUUUCUUUCAUAAACAGGGCUUCUCUCUAUGUUUUGUAUUUUAUUUUU